GUCGCUUUGGCCGAGUGGUUAAGGCGCUCACUUGCUAAGCGAGUGGGGUUCCCCGCGUGAGUUCUUGACUCACAGGCGACG